rnacentral:rRNA from 1 species
AAAGCUCAAAUUUAGAAAUCUGGCACCUUCGGUGUCCGAGUUGUAAUUUGAAGAUUGUAACCUUGGGGUUGGCUCUUGUCUAUGUUUCUUGGAACAGGACGUCACAGAGGGUGAGAAUCCCGUGCGAUGAGAUGCCCAAUCCUAUGUAAGGUGCUUUCGAAGAGUCGAGUUGUUUGGGAAUGCAGCUCUAAGUGGGUGGUAAAUUCCAUCUAAAGCUAAAUAUUGGCGAGAGACCGAUAGCGAACAAGUACAGUGAUGGAAAGAUGAAAAGAACUUUGAAAAGAGAGUGAAAAAGUACGUGAAAUUGUUGAAAGGGAAGGGUUUGAGAUCAGACUCGAUAUUUUGUGAGCCUUGCCUUCGUGGCGGGGUGACCCGCAGCUUAUCGGGCCAGCAUCGGUUUGGGCGGUAGGAUAAUGGCGUAGGAAUGUGACUUUGCUUCGGUGAAGUGUUAUAGCCUGCGUUGAUGCUGCCUGCCUAGACCGAGGACUGCGAUUUUAUCAAGGAUGCUGGCAUAAUGAUCCCAAACCGCCCGUCUUGAACACGGACCCA